rnacentral:rRNA from 1 species
UACAGAGGGGGCAAGCGUUGUUUGGAAUUACUGGGCGUAAAGGGCGCGUAGGCGGCCACGACAAGUCACUUGUGAAAUCUCCGGGCUUAACUCGGAACGGUCAAGUGAUACUGUCGGGCUAGAGUGCAGAAGGGGCAACUGGAAUUCUCGGUGUAGCGGUGAAAUGCGUAGAUAUCGGGAGGAACACCUAUGGCGUAAGCAGGCUCUGGACCAUCAUUGACGCUGAUCUGCGAAAGCUAGGGGAGCAAACAGG